AGCUCCAGAAGUCAGUCACCAGCAGCAAAUGUCACACAGUUAUAAAAUGGGAAACUUGAAGAAUAAGUUAUAGCUCCAGAAAACCGCCACCAGCAGCAGAUGUCACAGUUAUAAAAUGGGAAACUUGAAGAAUAAGCUCCAGAAGUCAGCAGCAGCA